UUAAGUGCCAAUGGAAGUCACGUAUCAUAGCAUUUUCAAGGUUCUUUGGAGGUUCUCCAGGACAUGCCUGAAGAUACAAGAAAAUGAAGGAAAAUAGUAUAACAAGGUCAGGGGUAGCAGAUGUAUACUCGUUGCUGUCAUGGAGAGAGAACAACAAGUGAAUACCUGGCAAGAAGCCCAGAAACCCAAGGUUGACAUUCCCAACAUUAUUUCAUAGCAAGCCUAAAACCAGGACAUGAAUGAGAGGCCUCCACCAGGUCUUCAUAGAGUACGAGGAGAAAUUGUCACUACGGGAGCAGCCGAGUGGUCAGCACUGUGCACAGACAGCACAAUCCUUUGGGAAGACCAAUUACAGGAACAAACCGUCCUACUUUAACAUGGCUUACUCUACCCCAACUGUUUGUUAGCUGUCUACCUGAUAUUUAAAAACAAAACAAAACAAAUCAGAAAACAUGACAAUGAUGGACUAAUGCAGUCAGAAGGAAUCUUCAGUGAUGCUGCCCAUGUUUCUGUGAAAUGGAGGAAACUUUGAACUCAGCUUCAAUGUGGAGGUUAUGCUCCAUCAAAAUUGCAGGGGGAAAAUAACCCUUUCCUAUCAAUUUGGUAAGAAAAUAAGAUAUAUUAAUGACUAACUAAAAUUCUUGAGAAUUUAUCACAUCAGACACUAUGCUCUUUAUAUGCAUUAUUUCAUCAAAUUCUCACAAUAAUCUUCCGAGUUAAGAAGGGGCACUCUGCCUCCUACAAUGAUGCAAGCCCUGCAGUUUUGAGAAGUUCAAGAAUGACAACAGUUCACAAAUCCAGGAAAAGGAGGCGAGCCAGGAUUUGAAUGCAGAGAGUCUGACACUGGCGUCUAUGUACUUAUGACUUUUCUAUAUUGACACUCCAGAAAUUAGCCCCAUGGCAUCACUGAUAUCUAAAAUUUAAUUUUGCCUUUUCUGUGUCCCUAAUCUAUCAAAACUCAGACAAGUUAAAUGACAGUACAGAGCCUGAAUUUCCUAAUCUAUAAAGAGCAAACAAUUGUAUCUAUUUUUAAGGUUGUCGUAAUAAAUAAAAUAAAGAACAUGAAUACA
rnacentral:lncRNA from 1 species